UACGUAGGGGGCAAGCGUUGUCCGGAUUUAUUGGGCGUAAAGAGCGUGUAGGCGGCUAGAUAGGUCCGUUGUGAAAACUCGAGGCUCAACCUCGAGACGCCGGCGGAAACCAUCAGGCUAGAGUCCGGAAGAGGAGAGUGGAAUUCCUGGUGUAGCGGUGAAAUGCGCAGAUAUCAGGAGGAACACCAGCGGCGAAGGCGGCGCUCUGGGCCGGAACUGACGCUGAGGAGCGAAAGCGUGGGUAGCAAACAGG
rnacentral:rRNA from 1 species